UCAGCUGGUUUAGUAAGUAUUAAGGCUUUCUCUGUUUGAAAAGGUCCAUCUGGUUUCGGAUACUCAAACGCAACUGAAGAUAUAACUCAUUGAAUUGUUGGAACUGGACUUACUGCAAUUGUUACUGGUAACUAGUACUGAAUUCCUUGUAUGGGUUUUCUUAUUUCAUGUUUUUCUUUACUGGGUUCAUUUUUUAUUUUUCAUAAGGACAUUAAAGAUUUUGUUAGUUCUGGUAAUGGUGUUUGAUGAAAUGGGCGAGAGAAAUAAGUAUAUGGGUUGUUUCAGGCAGAUCUUGGGUGUUUCAAGUGGUAUUGGUUCUGAGACUGCGCGUGUUCUUGCUAUGCUUGGAGUUCGUGUAGUCAUGGGAGUGUGGAAUAUAGCUGCAGGUAAAGAUGUUAAGGAAACAAUACCAAAGGAAAACUCUUCGGCUAAAGUUGAUGUUAUGGAGCUAUAUCUUAGCUCCAUGGUGUCGGUGAGACAAUUUGCUUCCAAAUUCGAGUCUGUAGAUCUCCCCCUAAACUUUCUUAUUAAUAAUGUAGGAGUCAUGGCAUGUCCCUUCAUGCUUUCCCAUGACAAUAUAGAGAUGCAGUAUGCGAAAAACCAUCUAGGUUUGCAACAUGAUUCUUUUCAGGAAGUAAUAAUGAGGGAGUCAAGGGUGGCGUAGAGACAUUGGCAAUCAUGAUAAUACUUUUUGGCUUUAAUAUAAAGCAUCAAACAGCAGCACGACAUUGGUAUCCCAUAACGUGGGCUAUCUUGAAAAGGGUCAAAUUCCAACCAAGAUUGGGUUGUUUGGCAAGAUCCAAAGAUACUAACCUUUUAGAUGAUACUCCGUACUACAGGAUACUUCAAUUGAACUAGGAAGUUUAGUUGUUUGUCAGUCUCAUGUUUUUGUUUGUAAAGUUUUGAAACAAUGUCUCCAUGUUGAUUUAGCCUUGUAGCCAUGGAGUUUGAGUCUAAUUUGAAGGAAGCGACGAGUGACGAUACCAAUCACUUAUUCACUGGUAAGUCAUACUCAUCAUCACAACUACAUGCCACUACUGGGUGAUAAGAUUAGUGAUGCGCUUAAGUGCACGAUAGAUGCAGCUAAGAUGCUCCCAUCUACAAUCUUAUUCUAAUUCAGUGUUGAGUGCUUUGGUAUUCUGACUUCAUAGUUGCUAUGGUAUUAUGUAAUUGUUUUCACAUUUGGAAAUUCAGUCAUAGUAGUUUGUUGAAUUUGUAAAAUGAAGACAGUUCAUAAUGUGCACUCAAUUUAAGUUUUUUUGAUAGUUCUAUUGGAU